CGAAUGUGACUGAUCGGCAGAGGAUGUUUACUCCUAUAUUGCACCUGAUCCCACCUCUAAUGUUUUUAUAGAACUUGCAAUAGAAGAAAAAGUUUAGGGAAAUUAAGAGGAAGAAAUUGAAGAUGAAAAGAAGAGCUCUGGGAGGAAAAAAUUCCAUUUGUUAAGAAUGUGUGGACAAAAGAAAAAUAGCCAUAGUAGAGUGCCAAUGUGGAGUGGA